UAGUAGAUUCCAGCAUCUGUUCCAAAUCAUUUCUUGUGGAGAUUCACCACCAUGGUAAGGCAAGUGGUAAGUGGAUCAAUGUUCCUGAAUUCGAGGUCAGGACUGCCUCCUAGAAUUUAGAAGAAGAAGAGGAAAUUUGCUCAGGGACGAAGAUUCGCUAGACAGAUUUGAAGAAUGCAGGCAAUAUUCAAGAAGGAUCUAAGGCACAUGGCCCAGCUACGUGGCACUAACGGCCGGAAAUACAAAAGAAGGGAAUUCUACUAUGGUGAGUUUCCUUUUGUGACCCCCAGUUUUCUGAAAGCUUCUGAAGGAUUCUAAUGGAUGAACUCCUCCCAUCCUGAGGGUCUCUUGGAGAUUCUUCUGGGUCUAGGUUCGUUGUUAUCAGCAAGCCUCGUCGUAUGUGCGGUGGCAUGUAUAAACUCGAUAUAAGCACUUAUAGAUCUGACCUCCAUCUUAACGUAAAGGUUAUAAAGUGUUAUUCUUAGCUUCACUUUGGAAAUUAGCUAAUGUCUAUGUUAGAGUGGUUCAUUUUUUUUUCUUUCUUUCUUUUGACAUUCAAAGAGACUGGUGGACUUUGCUCAGUUCAUGUGCAUUUACCCUUUUUUGGUUUGGGUUCUGUGUUCUUUGACAUCUUUUAAGGUAUCUUAUUUGGUGUUCUUA